rnacentral:sRNA from 1 species
AUGGAUUAUGUAAGAG